rnacentral:rRNA from 1 species
UGACAAGAAAUAACAAUACAGGACUUUACGGUUUUGUAAUUGGAAUGAGUUAAGUAUAAACCCCUUUACAAGUAUCAAUUGGAGGGCAAGUCUGGUGCCAGCAGCCGCGGUAAUUCCAGCUCCAAUAGCGUAUAUUAAAGUUGUUGCAGUUAAAAAGCUCGUAGUUGGAUUUCUGUUAAUACCUUAUAUAUAAUAUUUUUUUUUAAAUAUUAUUAUGUAAGAUUAACAUAAUUCAUAUUUUUUAAGACUGAAUUUUUAGUUUUGAUAAUAUGAAAUUUUACUUUGAGAAAAUUAGAG